ensembl:snoRNA SNORD33 Small nucleolar RNA Z195/SNORD33/SNORD32 family
AAGUAAUCUCCACAUCCAACAUGAGGCUUGAACUCACAACUCUGAGAUCAAGAGUCACAUGCACUACCAACUGA